CGGUACAUCGGUGACAGGUGGUGCAUGGUUGUCGUCAGCCCGUGUCGUGAGAUGUUGGGUUAAGUCCCGCAACGAGCGCAACCCCUAUUGUUAGUUGCCAUCAUUCAGUUGGGCACUCUAGCGAGACUGCCGGUAAUAAACCGGAGGAAGGUGGGGAUGACGUCAAAUCAUCAUGCCCCUUAUGACCUGGGCUACACACGUGCUACAAUGGUUGGUACAACGAGUUGCGAGUCGGUGACGGCGAGCUAAUCUCUUAAAGCCAAUCUCAGUUCGGAUUGUAGGCUGCAACUCGCCUACAUGAAGUCGGAAUCGCUAGUAAUCGCGGAUCAGCACGCCGCGGUGAAUACGUUCCCGGGCCUU
rnacentral:rRNA from 1 species